rnacentral:rRNA from 1 species
GAUGAACGCUGGCGGCGUGCUUAACACAUGCGAGUCGAACGGUGAAGCCAAGCUUGCUUGGUGGAUCAGUGGCGAACGGGUGAGUAACACGUGAGCAACCUGCCCUGGACUCUGGGAUAAGCGCUGGAAACGGCGUCUAAUACUGGAUAUGAGCCUCUUCCGCAUGGUGGGGGUUGGAAAGAUUUUUUGGUCUGGGAUGGGCUCGCGGCCUAUCAGCUUGUUGGUGAGGUAAUGGCUCACCAAGGCGUCGACGGGUAGCCGGCCUGAGAGGGUGACCGGCCACACUGGGACUGAGACACGGCCCAGACUCCUACGGGAGGCAGCAGUGGGGAAUAUUGCACAAUGGGCGAAAGCCUGAUGCAGCAACGCCGCGUGAGGGAUGACGGCCUUCGGGUUGUAAACCUCUUUUAGCAGGGAAGAAGCGAAAGUGACGGUACCUGCAGAAAAAGCGCCGGCUAACUACGUG